UACGUAGGGGGCGAGCGUUGUCCGGAUUUAUUGGGCGUAAAGAGCGUGUAGGCGGCUUGGUAGGUCCGCUGUGAAAACUCGGGGCUCAACCCCGAGAGGUCGGUGGAAACCAUCUGGCUAGAGUCCGGAAGAGGAGAGUGGAAUUCCUGGUGUAGCGGUGAAAUGCGCAGAUAUCAGGAAGAACACCCGUGGCGAAGGCGGUUCUCUGGGACGGUACUGACGCUGAGACGCGAAAGCGUGGGGAGCGAACAGG
rnacentral:rRNA from 1 species